AGAAUGAUGCUUGGGUGGUACAGCGAAAGCGUUAAGUAUUCCACCUGGGGAGUACGCCGGCAACGGUGAAACUCAAAGGAAUUGACGGGGGCCCGCACAAGCGGAGGAACAUGUGGUUUAAUUCGAUGAUACGCGAGGAACCUUACCCGGGCUCAAACGACGGAUGGAUGUUUCUGAAAGGAGGCAGUCCUACGGGACAUCCGUCGAGGUGCUGCAUGGUUGUCGUCAGCUCGUGCCGUGAGGUGUCGGCUUAAGUGCCAUAACGAGCGCAACCCCCAUCGCCAGUUACCAGCAAGUAAAGUUGGGGACUCUGGCGAGACUGCCGGCGCAAGUUGUGAGGAAGGCGGGGAUGACGUCAAAUCAGCACGGCCCUUACGUCCGGGGCGACACACGUGUUACAAUGGCAGGUACAGAGAGAAGCGAUGCGGCGACGCAGAGCGGAACUUCAAAGCCUGUCUCAGUUCGGAUUGGAGUCUGCAACCCGACUCCAUGAAGCUGGAUUCGCUAGUAAUCGCGCAUCAGCCACGGCGCGGUGAAUACGUUCCCGGGCCUUGUACACACCGCCCGUCAAGCCAUGGAAGCCGGGAGUGCCUGAAGUGUGCAACCGCAAGGAGCGCCCUAAGGUAAAACCGGUGACUGGGGCUAAGUCGUAACAAGGUAACCGU
rnacentral:rRNA from 1 species